CGUAGAGUUAGGAAAGGAUUAUAUUACUAAUGCUAUUAAAAAUAGUUUUGAUAUAGGGAAGGGAGUAGGUCCUGUAAAUCAUUUUUAUAAUUUUAUGG
rnacentral:tRNA from 1 species